UACGAGCGGCCCAAACGUUAUUCGGAAUUACUGGGCUUAAAGAGUUCGUAGGCGGCGCAGAAAGUAGGGUGUGAAAGCCCUCGGCUUAACCGAGGAAUUGCGCUCUAAACUACUGUGCUUGAGGAACCUAGAGGUGAGCAGAACUGAUGGUGGAGCGGUGAAAUGCGUUGAUGUCAUCAGGAAUACCGGAGGCGAAGGCGGCUCACUGGGGGUCUUCUGACGCUGAGGAACGAAAGCCAGGGGAGCGAACGGG
rnacentral:rRNA from 1 species